rnacentral:tRNA from 1 species
AAGGGUGUAGCUCACUGGUAGAGUGCUUGCCUAGCAUGCACAAGGUCCUGGAUUCAAUCCCCAGUACCUCUA